rnacentral:lncRNA from 1 species
CAAGUCCUCAACUGGCAGCUUCAUUAAAUAGUACCCGAAAACACCAGUCUCAACGUCAACAGUGAAGAGGCGACUCCGGGAUGCUGGCCUUCAAGUUGCUUCUGAAUUUAUCAGAAACUUGCCCAUACUGGCUCCUAAUGGACCUUUCCUGCCAGUAGACCCAAGGUCAGUCUGCCUUUAGAGGCACAAAACCUUCAAUUAGUAUUAGGU